rnacentral:snoRNA from 1 species
AAAUCACAUAUUACCAAUGAAUAGACAUCUAAUCUCGUGUGCUACCUGAGGGGCAAGUUUCUUGCUAACACCACAAGAGUCUCUGGUCCAAUGAGUGGAGUUUGAUAGCAAUCCUUGUUACAAGA